rnacentral:rRNA from 1 species
UACGUAGGGUGCAAGCGUUAAUCGGAAUUACUGGGCGUAAAGCGUGCGCAGGCGGUGAUGUAAGACAGAUGUGAAAUCCCCGGGCUCAACCUGGGAACUGCAUUUGUGACUGCAUCGCUGGAGUGCGGCAGAGGGGGAUGGAAUUCCGCGUGUAGCAGUGAAAUGCGUAGAUAUCGAGAGGAACACCUGAGGCGAAGGCGGGUUGCUAGGCUGACACUGACGCUGAGUGCGCGAAAGCUAGGGUAGCAAACGGG